CGUAGGCAGCGAGCGUUGUUCGGAGUUACUGGGCGUAAAGCGUGCGUAGGCGGUGUCCUAAGUUUGGUGUGAAAUCUCCCGGCUCAACUGGGAGGGUGCACCGAAAACUGGGGUGCUGGAGUGUGGGAGAGGUAGGCGGAAUUCCUGGUGUAGCGGUGAAAUGCGUAGAUAUCAGGAGGAACACCUGUGGUGUAGACGGCUUACUGGACCAUGACUGACGCUGAGGCACGAAAGCGUGGGGAGCAAACAGGAUUAGAUACCCUGGUAGUCCACGCCCUAAACGAUGCAUACUUGGUGUGGGUAAUUCAUCUUAUCCGUGCCGGAGCUAACGCGUUAAGUAUGCCGCCUGGGGAGUACGGUCGCAAGGCUG
rnacentral:rRNA from 1 species